rnacentral:rRNA from 1 species
CCUACGGGAGGCAGCAGUAGGGAAUCUUCCACAAUGGGCGAAAGCCUGAUGGAGCAACGCCGCGUGGGUGAAGAAGGUCUUCGGAUCGUAAAACCCUGUUGUUAGAGAAGAAAGUGCGGGUGAGUAACUGUUCACGUGUCGACGGUAUCUAACCAGAAAGCCUCGGCUAACUACGUGCCAGCAGCCGCGGUAAUACGUAGGUGGCAAGCGUUAGCCGGAUUUAUUGGGCGUAAAGGGAACGCAGGCGGUCUUUUAAGUCUGAUGUGAAAGCCUUCGGCUUAACCGGAGAAGUGCAUUGGAAACUGGGAGACUGGAGUGCAGAAGAGGGAAGUGGAACUCCAUGUGUAGCGGUGAAAUGCGUAGAUAUAUGGAAGAACACCAGUGGCGAAGGCGGCUCACUGGACUGUAACUGACGCUGAGGUUCGAAAGCGUGGGUAGCAAACAGGAUUAGAUACCCUGGCAGUC